CAAUCGGCCCUUUUCAGGGCCACCAACGUUUUACAGAAUGAGUUCU
rfam:Daphnia pulex DAPPTscaffold_6_Cont429, whole genome shotgun sequence.